rnacentral:rRNA from 1 species
CGGUAACACCGCAAGCCCGAGUGGUGAUCACUAUUAUUGGGUCUAAAGGGUCCGUAGCCGGUUUAAUCAGUCUUCUGGGAAAUCUAAUCGCUUAACUAUUAGGCUUCCAGGGGAUACUGUUAGACUUGGGACCGGGAGAGGUAAGAGGUACUGCAGGGGUAGGAGUGAAAUCUUGUAAUCCCUGUGAGACCACCAGUGGCGAAGGCGUCUUACCAGAACGGGUCCGACGGUGAGGGACGAAAGCUGGGGGCACGAACCGGAUUAGAUACCCGGGUAGUCCCAGCUGUAAACGAUGCUCGUUAGGUGUCAGGAACGGUGCGACUGUUUCUGGUGCCGAAGGGAAGCCGUGAAACGAGCCACCUGGGAAGUACGGCCGCAAGGCUGAAACUUAAAGGAAUUGGCGGGGGAGCACUACAACGGGUGGAGCCUGCGGUUUAAUUGGACUCAACGCCGGAAAACUCACCGGGGGCGACAGCAAUAUGUAGGUCAGGUUAAAGGUCUUACCUGAAUCGCUGAGAGGAGGUGCAUGGCCGUCGUCAGUUCGUACUGUGAAGCAUCCUGUUAAGUCAGGCAACGAGCAAGACCCGUGCCCACUGUUACCAGCAUAUCCUUUAUGGAUGAUGGGGACUCUGUGGGGACCGCUGCUGCUAAAGCAGAGGAAGGUGCGGGCUACGGUAGGUCAGUAUGCCCCGAAUCUCCCGGGCUACACGCGGGCUACAAUGGUUGGGACAAUGGGUAUCUACUCCGAAAGGAGUUGGCAAUCUCUUAAACCCAAUCGUAGUUCGAAUUGAGGGCUGUAACUCGCCCUCAUGAAGCUGGAAUCCGUAGUAAUCGCGUUUCAACAUAGCGCGG